CCUACGGGAGGCAGCAGUGGGGAAUAUUGCACAAUGGGCGCAAGCCUGAUGCAGCGACGCCGCGUGAGGGAUGACGGCCUUCGGGUUGUAAACCUCUUUCAGUAGGGAAGAAGCGAAAGUGACGGUACCUGCAGAAGAAGCGCCGGCUAACUACGUGCCAGCAGCCGCGGUAAUACGUAGGGCGCAAGCGUUAUCCGGAAUUAUUGGGCGUAAAGAGCUCGUAGGCGGUUUGUCGCGUCUGCCGUGAAAGUCCGGGGCUCAACUCCGGAUCUGCGGUGGGUACGGGCAGACUAGAGUGAUGUAGGGGAGACUGGAAUUCCUGGUGUAGCGGUGAAAUGCGCAGAUAUCAGGAGGAACACCGAUGGCGAAGGCAGGUCUCUGGGCAUUAACUGACGCUGAGGAGCGAAAGCAUGGGGAGCGAACAGGAUUAGAUACCCUGGUAGUCCAUGCCGUAAACGUUGGGCACUAGGUGUGGGGGACAUUCCACGUUUUCCGCGCCGUAGCUAACGCAUUAAGUGCCCCGCCUGGGGAGUACGGCCGCAAGGCUAAAACGUCAAAGAGUAGUAGCGUCGNGAGCGCGACGACGACGACGACGGAGGAG
rnacentral:rRNA from 1 species